rnacentral:rRNA from 1 species
GGGAGCGGCGGACGGGUGAGUAACGCGUGGGUAACCUGCCCUGUACACACGGAUAACAUACCGAAAGGUAUGCUAAUACGGGAUAACAUAAGAAAGUCGCAUGGCUUUCUUAUCAAAGCUUUUGCGGUACAGGAUGGACCCGCGUCUGAUUAGCUAGUUGGUAAGGUAACGGCUUACCAAGGCGACGAUCAGUAGCCGACCUGAGAGGGUGAUCGGCCACAUUGGAACUGAGACACGGUCCAAACUCCUACGGGAGGCAGCAGUGGGGAAUAUUGCACAAUGGGCGAAAGCCUGAUGCAGCAACGCCGCGUGAGCGAUGAAGGCCUUCGGGUCGUAAAGCUCUGUCCUCAAGGAAGAUAAUGACGGUACUUGAGGAGGAAGCCCCGGCUAACUACGUGCCAGCAGCCGCGGUAAUACGUAGGGGGCUAGCGUUAUCCGGAAUUACUGGGCGUAAAGGGUGCGUAGGCGGUCUUUCAAGUCAGAAGUGAAAGGCUACGGCUCAACCGUAGUAAGCUUUUGAAACUGUAAGACUUGAGUGCAGGAGAGGAGAGUGGAAUUCCUAGUGUAGCGGUGAAAUGCGUAGAUAUUAGGAGGAACACCAGUUGCGAAGGCGGCUCUCUGGACUGUAACUGACGCUGAGGCACGAAAGCGUGGGGAGCAAA